rnacentral:rRNA from 1 species
GGUUCGGAAUAACUCAGGGAACUUGAGCUAAUACCGGAUACGCCGAGAGGGAAAGAUUUAUUGCCGAAGGAUUGGCCCGCGUCUGAUUAGCUAGUUGGUGAGGUAACGGCUCACCAAGGCGACGAUCAGUAGCUGGUCUGAGAGGAUGAUCAGCCACACUGGGACUGAGACACGGCCCAGACUCCUACGGGAGGCAGCAGUGGGGAAUAUUGGACAAUGGGCGCAAGCCUGAUCCAGCCAUGCCGCGUGAGUGAUGACGGCCUUAGGGUUGUAAAGCUCUUUUACCCGGGAAGAUAAUGACGGUACCGGGAGAAUAAGCCCCGGCUAACUUCGUG